rnacentral:rRNA from 1 species
CACGUAGGCACCAAGCGUUAUCCGGAUUUAUUGGGCGUAAAGAGCUCGUAGGCGGUUCGGUAAGUCGGGUGUGAAAACUCUGGGCUCAACCCAGAGAGGCCACCCGAUACUGCUGUGACUAGAGUGCGGUAGGGGAGAGUGGAAUUCCUGGUGUAGCGGUGAAAUGCGCAGAUAUCAGGAGGAACACCAGCGGCGAAGGCGCCGCUCUGGGCCGUAACUGACGCUGAGGAGCGAAAGCAUGGGUAGCAAACAGG